AUUGAACGCUGGCGGCAGGCUUAACACAUGCAAGUCGAGCGAGCGGCGGACGGGUGAGUAAUGUCUGGGACACUGCCUGAUGGCGGGGGAUAACUACUGGAAACGGUAGCUAAUACCGCAUACCAUCAGAUGUGCCCAGAUGGGAUUAGCUAGUAGGUGGGGUAAUGGCUCACCUAGGCUACGAUCCCUAGCUGGUCUGAGAGGAUGACCAGCCACACUGGAACUGAGACACGGUCCAGACGCCUACGGUAGGCAGAAGUGGGGAGUAUUGCGCAAUGGGCGCAAGCCGGAUGCAGCCAUGCCGCUGGUGUGAAGAAGGCCUUCGGGUUGUAAAGCACUUUCAGCGGGGAGGCGUUACUCGCAGAAGAAGCACCGGCUAACUCCGUGCCAGCCGCGGCGGUAAUAC
rnacentral:rRNA from 1 species